CCCACAUAGUAUGGGAUCUACCCUUCAAUGUCCUGGUUGCCUGUUAUGCUAUCCCUGGAUCUUGCCCUGGUGUAUAUGAACGGCCUGUUCUCUGGAGGAGCCAACACUCAAGUAUGUGCUCUCUCUGGUCCUUGCCAGAGCUAUGAUUGCUGGAAAGGGAAGCAGGCCCGAGGACCAGGGUCUCACACUAUGCAGCUGAAGUUGGCCGACAACUCCUGAUCCUCUGGCGUGCUAGGAUCAUUGGCAAGACUCCCUUACUGGACUCAAUGCUGAACCAUUCUGACCUCAAGAGAAUGCCGUACAAGGAAUUUGUUAUCUUCGGUUAACAGCAGAGCAGUAGACUCAGCGUCUGGGGAAAGUUUUACUGAUCUUCGUUGCUCCUGAUACAUAAAUAUCUUCACCUCCCCAAGAUCUAAAAGGCUUCAGUCUGCUCUAUCCCAGGUUGUUGGCAUCUUCAAUAAAUUCUUUGGUCCCC
ensembl:lncRNA LOC102551319 uncharacterized LOC102551319